GCCCAUCACGUAAGACGCUGUUAAAUAUAAUGUUUAAUAACGGAUGCAGUGUAUGGAAUUCUUAUUAUCUUAUACAUAAAUAAGCAAGUCUAAGUUCAUCUUGAAUGGGGCCACUACCCACAGAGGGUGCCAGGCCUGUAUUGACUGUUUAUUAGUGUAAGAAAGUUUUCCUAAGAGUCGUGUUGCUUGAUAGUGCAGCACAAAGCGGGUGGUAAACUCCAUCUAAGGCUAAAUAUAACUACGAGACCGAUAGCAAACAAGUACCGUGAGGGAAAGUUGAAAAGUACUCUGAAUARAGAGUCAAAAAGUACGUGAAACCGCUUAGGGGUUAAACCCAAUGAACUUGAAUAUUUGAAAAGGGAAAUUCAAUGUAUUAAUGAUUUGUAUAUUUAUAUAUGGAAAGUUAAUGCGUGCACUUUUCCCUUAGUAAAACAUUGCAAUCUGUUGAUGUACAUAAUUAUGUAUGUGUAAAUGUAUAUAAUUUUUUAUCAAAGACCCAUAAUGGAGUUUAUUAUAUAAUAGGUAUUUAUAUUUAUUAUAUAAUUUACGUAUGGUGUUAGAUAAUAAUAAGUCGACAGAUUAUUACUAUAUAAUCACGUUUAAUACAAUUUAUUGUAUAUUAAAUUAAUAUCGGGUAAUACAUCGGUAUAUGAUUUAUUAAUGACGUGUUUUGUAUUAGCAAUGUAUAUAAGAUUCAGGAUACCUUUGGGACCCGUCUUGAAACACGGACCAAGGAGUCUAGCAUAUGUGCAAGUUAGUAGAAAUAAAGAAUUAUAUUUAUUUAUGUUCUUUAAAUAUAUAUUUAUAUGUAUUAUAAAAUAUAAAAUCUACAAGCGUAAUAAACGUAACUAUAAUGGGAUUACGAUGAUAAUAUCUUGUAUAUUAUUGUUUUCCAUCCCGGGACGUUCCAAAAUGAUUGAUAAACAUAUUUUAUAUGUUUUAUUAUCAUUGGAGCGUACCUUGAGCAUAUAUGUUGUGACCCGAAAGAUGGUGAACUAUACCUGAUCAGGUUGAAGUCAGGGGAAACCCUGAUGAAGGACCGAAACAGUUCUGACGUGCAAAUCGAU
rnacentral:rRNA from 1 species